rnacentral:rRNA from 1 species
UGUGAUGCUCUGCCACCUGGAAUGUGCCCAAUCUCAUCUGAUCUUGGAAGCUAAGCAGUGUCAGGCCUGGUAAGUACUUAGAUGGGAGGAAUACAGUGCUAUUAAAG